GUGUCGUCGCUGCUGCCGCGCCGCCGCCCCCAGCAGCCGCCGCCGCCGCCCGCGGAGACCAAGGAGGCGGGCAGCGCCGAGGAGCAGGCCGAGGCCGCCGAGGAGGUAGAGUCCGCGGAGAAGGAGGAGACGGCGCCGCCGCCGCCGGCAGAGGCGACCGCCGCCCCCGAGCCGCCCCCGGAGGGCAGCCGGCUGUCGUCGCUGCUGGCGGGCCGCCGCCGCAACAACCUGCCGCGCCGGCCAGGGUCGCUGUUCCCUUCGUCGGCGGGCCGCGCCGCCCCCAGCAGCAAGGAGGCGGCGUAACGCGGCGCCGCCGCCGCGUUGAAGCUCGGUGGUGCUGGGACAGUGCGCCUGCAGUCCUCCCUCCCGUACAUCCCCCGCUCUUUCCACGCUUCCCUCUCUUUCAGCACUGUUGCCGCCAUCUUGAAUGAUCUUUUCUAUCUAGUUCAUAUUUCCUGAUUAUUAGCACGACGGUCUCCCCAAGCACGUGUUAUCGUCUGGUGUUAAUAAACACGCUUCAACAAACGAAGCCAUGAAACUAGAUAGCACGCAUGUUCUGUACUGCGUGCUUUAUAACUCAAUGAAGUUGGAAUGUAAUUAUCUCCCUUGAUCCCGCGGCACAGCAGAAGUAAUCGACAGUCAAGCGAAGCACUAUGCGAGUAAAAAGCACGUGCUCCGAUGACGUUCCAGGCGUAUAUUUUCAUUUGAUCAGCAGGCAGCUGGGGAAUUCGAAGAUAGAAUGCAUUAUUGUAAAUCUUAACGUGCAUAUUUGGGAUCUUAUGUCAAAUAAUUCUGUUCUGAAAGUAAAUCAUCAAGAUCGGUUAAGUUCACUGGGAAUGCACGAAUAAAAAUAUAUAUUAUGAUUUGUCGAACUUAAACACACUUGUAUGUGAAUUUAGAUUUCUGAAUAUAUUGUUUGCUUUGUUUAUGCCCAUGUCUGAUUAUUUCCUAUUACCUUCAUGACGUAAAUACUUCUCAACAGUAUAAACCACCGAUAGUAAAAUUUUCCAAACUUUCUUCUAUCAAACUAUCUUUGUCAUUGUACUUUUGUCAUAGUAAACCCAUCCGUAGAUAAUAACUAAACAAACUAUACCUAACAUAAAUUUCUGUUUAGGUCAAAUAAAACUUUCAAGAGCUGCGAUUUUGCAAUUUUGUUUAGGAGAAACAGCAAAGCGACUAUAAAUUAUUCUUCCUGUAUAUAUGAUAACAAUUUGGCAUUACAGGAACCUUAGUUUAGCAAAUUUAUUUGCACCAUGCGAAAAUAUGUAUGAUUUGUAUCUUGAGUGCUUAAAGAUGUGUAACUGUGAGAUAUGUUCAGGGCGUACUUAUAGCAAUUUCACUGCUUUUUGUGUACACAAAACAACGACAUUCUUUAAAGUAAAAUAUAGUUUGUAGUUGUGAAUAAGUCAACAAGUAUCCAGUACAUUUUUUUGUUCUUUUUAAA